rnacentral:rRNA from 1 species
AACGAACGCUGGCGGCAGGCCUAACACAUGCAAGUCGAACGCCGUAGCAAUACGGAGUGGCAGACGGGUGAGUAACGCGUGGGAACAUACCCCUCGGUUCGGAAUAACUCAGGGAAACUUGAGCUAAUACCGGAUACGUCCAAGGUUUUAAUCGACCUUGGAGAAAGAUUUAUCGCCGGAGGAUUGGCCCGCGUCUGAUUAGCUUGUUGGUGAGGUAAUGGCUCACCAAGGCGACGANCAGUAGCUGGUCUGAGAGGAUGAUCAGCCACAUUGGGACUGAGACACGGCCCAAACUCCUACGGGAGGCAGCAGUGGGGAAUAUUGGACAAUGGGGGAAACCCUGACGCAGCAACGCCGCGUGGAGGAUGAAGUCCCUUGGGACGUAAACUCCUUUCGACCCGGACGAUAAUGACGGUACGGG